rnacentral:rRNA from 1 species
AUAAGUAAUGUGAAUUGCAGAAUUCAGUGAAUCAUCGAAUCUUUGAACGCACCUUGCGCUCCUUGGUAUUCCGAGGAGCAUGCCUGUUUGAGUGUCGUGAACAUAUCAACCCCGACGGGAUUUUAAUCUCGACGGUGGCUUGGACUUGGGAGCCUGCUGGCCGUUGUACUUCGGUCGGCUCUCCUUGAAUGCAUUAGCUUGGACUUGUUUCAUGGGCUGCAUAGCGUGAUAACUAUCUACGCUUUGUACUGUCUGUGGGAUACUCAUGAGUCUGGCUUCUAAUCGUCCUCUGGACAAUUACUUUACGUUUUGACCUCAAAUCAGGUAGGACUACCCGCUGAACUUAAGCAUAUCAAUAAGCGGAGGAAAAGAAACUAACAAGGAUUCCCCUAGUAACUGCGAGUGAAGCGGGAUGAGCUCAAAUUUAAAAUCUGGCGGUUAUGCCGUCCGAGUUGUAAUCUGGAGAAGCGUUUUCUGUGCUGGACCGUACAUAAGUUCCUUGGAAUAGGACGUCAUAGAGGGUGAGAAUCCCGUCUUUGGUAUGGACUACCAGUACUCUGUGAUACGCUCUCAAAGAGUCGAGUUGUUUGGGAAUGCAGCUCAAAAUGGGUGGUAAAUUCCAUCUAAAGCUAAAUAUAGGCGAGAGACCGAUAGCGAACAAGUACCGUGAGGGAAAGAUGAAAAGCACUUUGGAAAGAGAGUUAAACAGUACGUGAAAUUGUUGAAAGGGAAACGCUUGAAGUCAGUCGCGUUGUCCAGGACUCAGCCUUGGUUCUCCUUGGUGUACUUCCUGGUUAACGGGUCAACAUCAAUUUUGACCGGUGGACAAAGGCUUGGGGAAUGUGGCACCCUCGGGUGUGUUAUAGCCCCUUGUCAUAUACAUUGGUUGGGAUUGAGGACCGCAGCACGCCCUUGUGGCCGGGGUUCGCCCACGUAACGUGCUUAGGAUGUUGGCAUAAUGGCUUUAAGCGACCCGUCUUGAAACACGGACCAAGGAGUCUAACAUGCCUGCGAGUGUUAGGGUGGUAAACCCUUGCGCGAAAUGAAAGUGAAAGUUGGGACCUCUUUGAGGGCACCGACGCCCGGCCCUGAACUCUUGUGACGGUGCUGCGGUAGAGCAUGUAUGUUGGGACCCGAAAGAUGGUGAACUAUGCCUGAAUAGGGCGAAGCCAGAGGAAACUCUGGUGGAGGCUCGUAGCGAUUCUGACGUGCAAAUCGAUCGUCAAAUUUGGGUAUAGGGGCGAAAGACUAAUCGAACCAUCUAGUAGCUGGUUCCUGCCGAAGUUUCCCUCAGGAUAGCAGAAACUCGUAUCAGAUUUAUGUGGUAAAGCGAAUGAUUAGAGGCCUUGGGGUUGAAACAACCUUAACCUAUUCUCAAACUUUAAAUAUGUAAGAACAAGCCGUCUCUUAGUUGGACCGCUUGUCGAUUGAGAGUUUCUAGUGGGCCAUUUUUGGUAAGCAGAACUGGCGAUGCSGGGAUGAACCGAACGUGAGGUUAARGUGCSGGAAUAMASGCUCAUYWRGMCMCCMCAAAAGGGGGUAGUUCAYYHAGACAGCAGGACGGKUGGCAUUGGAAGUCCGGAACCCGCYWARGGRGGKGKKACAACUCACCUGCGGAUGAACUASCCCUGGAAAUGGAUGGCGCCCAACGKGKKUACCCAAACCUCMCCGUCA